UGGGGAAUAUUGGACAAUGGGCGCAAGCCUGAUCCAGCCAUGCCGCGUGAGUGAUGAAGGCCCUAGGGUUGUAAAGCUCUUUCGCCAGGGACGAUAAUGACGGUACCUGGAUAAGAAGCCCCGGCUAACUUCGUG
rnacentral:rRNA from 2 species